rnacentral:rRNA from 1 species
UACGUAGGGUGCAAGCGUUGUCCGGAAUUACUGGGCGUAAAGCGCACGUAGGCGGAUAUUUAAGUCAGGGGUGAAAUCCCGCAGCUCAACUGCGGAACUGCCUUUGAUACUGGGUAUCUUGAGUAUGGAAGAGGUUAGUGGAAUUGCGAGUGUAGAGGUGAAAUUCGUAGAUAUUCGCAGGAACACCAGUGGCGAAGGCGGCUAACUGGUCCAUAACUGACGCUGAGGUGCGAAAGCGUGGGGAGCAAACAGG